GACGAACGCUGGCGGCGUGCUUAACACAUGCAAGUCGAACGGAAAGGCCCUGCUUUUGUGGGGUGCUCGAGUGGCGAACGGGUGAGUAACACGUGAGUAACCUGCCCUUGACUUUGGGAUAACUUCAGGAAACUGGGGCUAAUACCGGAUAGGAGCUCCUGCUGCAUGGUGGGGGUUGGAAAGUUUCGGCGGUUGGGGAUGGACUCGCGGCUUAUCAGCUUGUUGGUGGGGUAGUGGCUUACCAAGGCUUUGACGGGUAGCCGGCCUGAGAGGGUGACCGGCCACAAUGGGACUGAGAUACGGCCCAGACUCCUACGGGAGGCAGCAGUGGGGAAUACUGCACAAUGGGCGGAAGCCUGAUGCAGCAACGCCGCGUGCGGGAUGACGGCCUUCGGGUUGUAAACCGCUGUCGCCUGUGACGAAGCGUGAGUGACGGUAAUGGGUAAAGAAGCACCGGCUAACUACGUG
rnacentral:rRNA from 1 species